UAGAAUAAAGCCCCUAUCCGUAACGAUA
rnacentral:piRNA from 1 species